UUGAAAUAGCUACACACCUUUCUUGAAUCUCUCAAUGUUGAACUGAAGCCAAAGCCAUGUUUAUGAAUAACUGUACCUAGAGCAUAUAAGAAAAGAAAAACCAGUGGCCCUAGAACAAAGCCUUGUGGAACACUAAAUAUUUAUUUUGUACAGAUAGAGAAGCCUCCAUAAACAUUUACAAACCAAUAAAUGAUGGUCAGAUAAGACCAGAGCCAGGAAAGAACCAUUACUUUAAGCCCAACAAAAAAAAUGUCUGUUUAAAUGAUUAUUGAAGCAGCACUAAGCACAAGUAAUACAAACAAGUAGACACGACCCUGAUCAGAGGCCAGUAAUAGGUGAUUUACUACCUUAACCAGUACACAUUCUGUAUCGACUGAAAGUUUUCAUGCAUAUGCUUCCUAUGCAUGUAUCAGCUUAGCUGUUGAGGUACAACAUUUUUUAGAAUCUUAAAGACUAUGAGGAACUUAGAUAACGGCAUAUGGUUUGACAGCUGACAAAGUCAAGAUCAGCUCUCCUACAUUUGACUGUUAUUAUAACAACCACAACUGCAAAGUAGAUGUCUACUUUUGUGAUCAAAAAAAUUUACAGUUUCUGGAUCAUCCAUGUGCAUGCUACAAAUUGUGGCACCUUUCUGUCCAUCCAUCUCAGCCCUUUUCUCCCAUAAUUCCAGCAGUCUGGAGAGAGAAGGAUGACUGGAGCUUUUUCUUUCUCUGUUCCACUUUCUCUUCUUGCUUCUUUCUCACACUCGCUGUUUGUUAGAGGUUCUAGUUGGCUGAAAGUGAGUUACAUAAAAAGGACUGAUCCAAGAAAUGAUAGAACGAACAAAAAGAAUGAGAAAAUUGACAUCACAUGUAAUUGUGUGGUGACACAGAAAUUAGGAAGAUGAUACAGUGCUUUGUCCUGAAUAAGAAAGAAAAUCAUUUUUGGUUGAGAUUAGACAUACGUUUAGGCACAAACACUUACUGAAGGACAGGGUUUGUUAGGAAUGUAGGUUGAGGGACUGGAGAGGACAGGUGCAGUUGCUAAGGACUGGACCAACAGGAAGAAAAUCUACUGCCCGUACAUAGUAUGUACUUUAGCCUGGCAGUCACAGUCUGACACCACAUCAUCAGUGUGAGUGAAAUCUAACUUAGUAGUCCAUUCCGUAUCUAGGAGCCCUUGCAGAAUUAAGUCUUUGGGUCAAAUUUGCCACAGAGAAAGUUAAUAUAUAAAUCUUGUAUGUUGUUGAUAUCAGUGUUCCUGUUAUUGAAGUAUCGAAGUAAGGAAGGAGCAUUCAUCAUAUGCUUAGAGUAACAUGAGCACUGACAGAAACCCUUUUAAACCCCUGGGCUUCGUAGUAUAAUUGCUAGCAAAAAGAGGUCAUCAAGAACCAGGAAGGAGCAAGAGGGAUCCAGGAGGAAACAAUGGCAUAUUGAUUACCAAGGCAAUUUGCAACUCCUAUUCACAUUAAAAGGCAACACGCUGCCUCUAGUUUAUCUUUUGUGAACGUGCACUACGCAGCGUUUUGUGUGUCGCAUAAACGGGAUUUCACUGAGUUUUUUUGUGAUUGUUGCAGCCAAAAAACGCUCAAUUUCGCUACGUCUUUUUGAAAAAUUUGCAGUGCACCUUGCGGCGUUUUGGUGCUUUGCAGCGGAAAACUACUUGAACUGCCGAAAUUGCAGGUGCAUGAAAUUGUUUUGCACGAUCUUUCGCAAUGAAGUUUGUCGGUAAAUGAGACUUUUUGAAUGUAUUCAUGUUUGACACACGUGAAUUGAAGAGGGCUUUGGCUGAAUGCGCGUUGUGAUGAUGUCACAUGACGUGUCCUGGCCCAAAUCUGCAGAAAAUCUGCGGUAAUUUAGAAAAAUCGCAAGUUCCUCUGAAUAGUGCGGAAUUUGCUUGAUUCGCGUUAAUUUCUGCCAUCACAAAAUCGCAUAAUCCUGGAGGGACUGAAUAGGAGGUGCUAGUCGCCAAAUGCACCAGGUACUGCACUAUUUAUAAUUUACUGUUACUUUCGUUUAAAGUCCAUCUUCAUGUGGUUCCUAUUUCCGUUCCUGUGAGCUAAAUUCUUUAAAAUCUGGAUCCAAAAAAUCAAAUCCAGAAUUAUUUGUAUCCUUCAAGAGAAAUUUCCACAAAUCUGGGAUAUACUAACCUUUCCUCUAACAAUGUUUGCUGACUUAUAAAAGUGUUUUGUUCAUUGUAAUAAAGACGCCUAGUAGCUAUACAAAGAAAUGUGAUUUGUUGCAAUUCAGUAUUUUAAUUAUGUGACAUACCUACCAUCAGUAUAAAACUAGAAGAGAUUCGCUAUCAAUAAACCUCUAUAUGUAAGGUACAAUUGUUAUAUACAGUUCUUAAACACACCAGUGUAGUUCAGUUGUACAAAGUAAACAAUAUGAACUAUAAAGAACUAUCAUGUAUUUUCUAGUAACCUCAUAGACACUAAAUAUUACUCAUACUGGUGUCUUCGCAGUUCCCAAGUUCUGACCCUCAACCCUGAAACACUCUGUCCUCCUCUGUGUGACACCAGAUGGUGUAAUACAGUCAGUGAUAACUAAUGAGUCCCUUUUUACUCUGAGAGAAAGCCAUUCUGCACUGACAAGCGAUGCAUUUAUGUCCAGUUAUAAAUUACAGAGCUGAACAAAAACAGAAUUAGAGACAAAGAUAUCUCCAUUAAAGACAUCUCCCUAGUCAGGAUACAGAAGACGCAGUACCAGUAUAUAUACACCAGACAAACAUUCCAUCCAGAGGACACCUUUUUUUAAUUAGUUAAGAUUUAAAAAGGUAAAAUUGAUAAACGCACCAUUGUAUUUCAGUUUAACACAAUAAACAAUAUGAACUAUAACAAACGAGCCUGUAUUUCCUGGUAAUCUCAUAUUUUUACUCGAAUUAUUUGUUAACAGGAAUGUUAAACAUUUUUGCUUUUCUUACAAAGACUGUGUUGGGACACCUUUGGGUCACUGCAAUCUUUUUCUGAAUAAAGGCAGACAAAACACAUAAUUAUAUUGUAUACUAAGGAGGAAACCAGGGUACCUGGAGGAAACCCCUGAAGCACAGGGAGUGCAUGCAGGCUCCGCACACACAGGGCAGAGGCGUGAUUCAAGCCCCCAUCCCCGAAGGACUGUCACGAUUCGAGGUCGAGCCAGAAGCAGG